UAUAAUUAAUAUUAAGAGAUUUUUUAUCCUUUCUUCGUCUCUUUUCUUUUCCAAACCCUUUUCAUUAUCAAAACCCUCGUUUCUUCCCUUCUGGAGAGAGGACUGAACCUCGUUUGAUUUCCCAAUAUGCAGUAGUAAAUUUUUCCAAAAAAUCACAAAAGUUUUCAUCAAUUUUCAUCAACGUCCUAUACGUAGGCUCUGAGUAUUGUGGUAAUGGAAGGAGAUCGAUAUUUCGAGUUUGACGAUUGGCGUAAUCUGAAUAGUUAUUCGAAAGGAGAUUUUCAUUAUAAGGAAACAAUAAAAAAUUUCUUGUCGAAAGCGUAAUGGAAGAAAUUGAGAGAGGGUGUUUUUGAAAAAUUUUUCUGGCUGAAAAAUGUUAAAUUAUGUGGCAAAUUAAUUCAUUGUAUGUUGAUUUAUGAAAUUGUAAGCAAUGAUAUAAAUUCAAUGACUUUUAAGGUUUU